AAACACACCAAAUUUGAAAAUACAAAAAGGAGGCUUAUUUAUAGGCUCUCAAACAAAAGAUAGUCCUAGAGAUAAGAAAAGAAAUCGUACUUAAACUACUUCUCCUUAAACUAGGAUAAUUACAAACUGAAAAUAGAUAAACAUAAAAUAAUAAAAUUAACCUAAAAGAGCUAGGAAAAGUUUUCUCUCCAUCAAUCAACAUGGAGACGCCGACCUUGCUUGUGAAAGGAAUCUUGAACUUCAUGUCCUAGCUUGGACAGGUUUUGGAAGGGGCUGAUUAAGUGUCUCCUUGACUUGAGCCUUAGGACUGGGAAGGAUAUCUG
rnacentral:misc_RNA from 1 species